UUAAAUUGAAGAGUUUGAUCAUGGCUCAGAUUGAACGCUGGCGGCAGGCCUAACACAUGCAAGUCGAACGGUAACAGGAAGAAGCUUGCUUCUUUGCUGACGAGUGGCGGACGGGUGAGUAAUGUCUGGGAAACUGCCUGAUGGAGGGGGAUAACUACUGGAAACGGUAGCUACUACCGCAUAACGUCGCAAGCCCAAAGAGGGGGACCUUCGGGCCUCUUGCCAUCGGAUGUGCCCAG
rnacentral:rRNA from 1 species